AGAGUUUGAUCCUGGCUCAGAACGAACGCUGGCGGCGUGCCUAACACAUGCAAGUCGAACGGAGUGAAGGAGCUUGCUCUUUCAUUUAGUGGCGCACGGGUGAGUAACGCGUAGAUAAUCUGCCUUGGACUCUGGGAUAACAUCUCGAAAGGGGUGCUAAUACCGGAUAAGCCCACGAUGGCGUAAGUCAUUGCGGGAAAAGGGGGCCUCUGAAUAUGCUCCUGAUUCAAGAUGAGUCUGCGUACCAUUAGCUAGUUGGUAGGGUAAGAGCCUACCAAGGCGACGAUGGUUAGCUGGUCUGAGAGGAUGAUCAGCCACACUGGAACUGAGACACGGUCCAGACUCCUACGGGAGGCAGCAGUGGGGAAUUUUGCGCAAUGGGGGAAACCC
rnacentral:rRNA from 1 species